UACGUAGGGGGCAAGCGUUGUCCGGAAUUAUUGGGCGUAAAGAGCGCGUAGGCGGUCCGAUAAGUCGGCUGUGAAAGUCAGGGGCUCAACCCUUGAAAGCCGGCCGAUACUGCCGGACUAGAGUCCGGAAGAGGCAAGUGGAAUUCCCGGUGUAGCGGUGAAAUGCGCAGAUAUCGGGAGGAACACCAAUGGCGAAGGCAGCUUGCUGGGACGGUACUGACGCUGAGGUGCGAAAGCUAGGGGAGCAAACGGG
rnacentral:rRNA from 1 species